CCAGGAGGACCACCUCUUGAUGAAGGAACUUGAGGAGCUCAUGGUGGGGGACAGAACUGCUGACGCCCUCAUGAAUGAACAGAUAGAUUCCCGAGCCACCAUGAACUCGGAAGCUUUGUUCCACCACACCCUUUCACCAUGACUUUUCUUCCUUGGAGCCAACUGAGCACGGACUGAAUCCCCUCAAACCAUGGAGCCAGAGUGGACCUCUCUUACUUUAAAUUACAGAGUAUAAAAGGAGAAGAAAGAAGUUGCUAAGGUCCCUUGUUGCUUUGCUACCUUCUGCCCACCGUAAACGGAUUUUCCUCUACCAAGCCACAUUGCUUUGGAGCCAGUCAACUCUGGACUGAAACUUCUAUGAAUUGUAAGCCAAAUAAAAUUUUU